UACGGAGGGGGCUAGCGUUGUUCGGAAUUACUGGGCGUAAAGCGCACGUAGGCUGAUUAGUCAGUCAGGGGUGAAAUCCCAGGGCUCAACCCUGGAACUGCCUCUGAUACUGCUAGUCUAGAGACCGAAAGAGGUGAGUAGAAUUCCGAGUGUAGAGGUGAAAUUCGUAGAUAUUCGGAGGAAUACCAGUGGCGAAGGCGGCUCACUGGUUCGGUACUGACGCUGAGGUGCGAAAGUGUGGGGAGCAAACAGG
rnacentral:rRNA from 1 species